AAAAACCAUCGUUGUCCUUCAACUACAGAAACCUU
rnacentral:tRNA from 1 species